UACGUAGGGUGCGAGCGUUGUCCGGAAUUAUUGGGCGUAAAGGGCUCGUAGGCGGUUUGUCGCGUCGGGAGUGAAAUCCACUGGCUUAACUGGUGGCUUGCUUUCGAUACGGGCAGACUGGAGGUAUGCAGGGGAGAACGGAAUUCCUGGUGUAGCGGUGAAAUGCGCAGAUAUCAGGAGGAACACCGGUGGCGAAGGCGGCAUCCUGGACCAUUACUGACGCUGGGGCGCGAAAGCUAGGGGAGCAAACGGG
rnacentral:rRNA from 1 species